GAAGAGAGAAAAAAGAAGAAUAAAGAAGUUCGACAGACGACUACUCGAUACAAGAUGCAGACGAGGUAACAAAAUCUCCUUUUCAUUUUUCAACUGACAGGAUGUACGUUACAAGAUCCGGUGGCCCAAAAAAAAAAAAAAAUGUAUACAUCAUUGCAAGUCUCGCGAACACGGUUUGGAAAGGAUGCACCGGAGGCCACUUCAAGCUGCAAACUUCUCUUCCCAGCCGCAUCAUCCAGUACGUGUGAUGGGCUCAUCG
rnacentral:lncRNA from 1 species